CGUUCACGUCGUGAAACAGCCUCUGGCCCCAAACCUUCACUUGGCAACAUUCACACAUCACAUGUGCAAAGAGGUUGCAAUUGGUGAGUUCUGUUUGCAAAAGACCAACCACCUGGAAAUGCAAGCGUGGAAGCCAUGAGAGUGCCAAAAAAUGUGGAAGAUGGAGGCAGAGAGAACCAGACUUGAAUCCUGGCCCCACCUCUCACCCACACUCCCUGAACCUCAAGUUUUGCAUCUAUAAAACUGUGGUGAUAAUAAAACCUACCUAUAGGGCUGUUGAUCCAAACUGUAUUUUGUAGCUCCUCCAGGGAAGUUUUCCAGUCAACCUAAUGCUUCUCUAUGGCUGUUCAGGGAAUGAAAAAAUGAGGAAGGAAUUAAUGAAUUAUUUCAUGAGAAUGCCAUUUUCCUCUGCUUCUUUCAUGUUAAGAAUUAUAUAGAGC
rnacentral:lncRNA from 10 species